AUGCAGGAAUCGCUCAUCACCGGUGAUUCGUUUCAGGGGACAUCGCCCCAGACGGCGCCCGCUGGUGCGCCAACAGCAGCCCAGUGCGAUACAAAAGUGCGGAUGACGCUUACGGCGGCGCUACGGCGGCGGUUGGAUCCCACCAUCGUGCCACUGGAUCCUCCGCCUUCAAGCCCCUGCAUCUCCAGUGAGCGUUGUGCGCGUACGGUCCUGAUCCAGUGCAUGCGGCUUCGAUCCAGCAUGUCCCAGCCGCCGCCGCAAAAUGCUGCUCCGGCCGCUGCUUUGGCAGUCCAAGUGCCCCACCGAAGUCCGUCCGAGUUCCUCUGUCCGUGCUCCUUCGUGUCGAAGCUUCUGCCAGCAGUAGUGCAGAAAUCUGAAGAUCAUUUGGUGUGUCUUCAGCAAACGUUGCGUCGAGCCACUGGCACAUGUUCGCAUCCUCCAUCAUCUCGCUUUUCUACUAUUCCUCAUGUUCUAGCCAUUGGCACAUAUGCAAAGAAAUUGGUGUUUUGGUCCGUUGGUUUCAGUUUAACAAGAGCUUCAGUAAUGGAAAACUUGAGUUUUCUUCCAAGUUUAUCUCGAAAAUGCAUGACAGCCGACUGUCCAUUUAAUCAGAGAUGA
rnacentral:rRNA from 1 species